AGCCGGAGUAGCCGCGCUGCGUGGGGGACCAGGCCGGCCUGUGCGCGUGGGGGACCGGCGGCCUGACCUGCUGCGUUGGGGGCUGCAGAGUGGGGCCGUUGGGCCGCUACGGAGUGGGGCUUGAAGACGCAUCCGGGCACUCACAGGUGAGAGGUAGAGGAGUACGCAGCGAGCAGAAGGUACAUUACUGAAUUUUUCUCAUGAUUUCGAUUGCUACUAGAAUUAGAGAGGAGAGAUUAGCUUGUAUUUGCUUGCAUAUGUGAUGAGGCUGCAUUGUUGUUCAUCUGUAGGAUGGACGACAAUAGUCGCUUCAAACUAGAAAUUCGAGUCAUUGCUCCCAACUGUCGUGGUAGAUGGUACAACUUGGAAAAAAUUGUGGAUGCUGACUUUACCAACUUCAGAGAUUUGGUUGAUGAAGUUGUUGACAAGUGUCCUCCCAGUUUCGGCGACGUAGUGAAACUGUUUUACUCAUGCAUGGAUACAAAGGCCAAUAUCCUAGUCUGUUCUGAUCAAGAGUUGGUUGAAAUAUUUGCAAAACAUGAAGCUUCAAAGUGCUGUUAUAUGACUUUAUGUUAUUAUAGUCCUGGUAGUGAGCCUCCUGUAUGGGAUGUUACUAGUACUAGCAAGUCAAUUGCAGCCCCAUGCACUCCUUCAAUGCCAUGUCCUAGCAUAGCAGAACCAAGCUUUGGAACUCAUACCCAUGAAACUAAACAAAUGCCCAACCCAAACCCACGUGAUGAGUACCUAGGUGUGGAUGGGGAAGGGUUGUAUACUGAUAUUGGUCUCGAAAAUUCAGAACCUGUCAAUCCUCAAAGCCAACAAAGAUAUCCUGAACCAUCCCAAUCAGACACGUGAUUGACUCCGAAACAAAUGAGAAUUGGGUGUGGUUCAUGCAAAGGUUGAAGGAAGCUAUAGGCAGCCCGGUUGGCCUUACAUUCAGCACUGAUUAUGAGCAGGCAGUGAUGAAUGAAGUUAGUGUGGUUUUUCCAGAAGCUGAACAUAGAGAGUGUAUGUAUCACCUAGUUCAAAAUUUAAAAAAAAGUACAGUAGACAGAUUUGUAAUGAAAAUCUAUAGCAAUCUGUAUAUUUUUGGAACCCUUACAUGUUUGAGAAACAUUAUCAAGCAAUGGCUGAACACAAACCAGAGGCUAUGAAAUAUCUUCAGGAAAACUAUAAGAAAUUGUGGAGCAGGAGCCAAUUCUCCACAUUGUCAAAGGUGGAUUAUAUUACAAAUAACUUGGUUGAGUCCUUCAACAAUUGGGUAAAGGAUUAUAAGGGCAAGAACCUGAAUGACCUGAUGGAUACCAUUAGACAGCGGAUCUUGAUUAAAUGGAAUCAAAAGAAACGGAUUGUCCAGCAGUUUCAAGGCAAAAUUCUGCCUCAUAUAGUUCAAAAGUUGAGGGAAGACAGCUAUAAACUUGACAUUGAAGUUAUCACAAGCUCACCUGAUGGUAUUGGAGAAAUUUGUGCUAAGGAGCGUUCUGCCAGCAGUUACAGGUUUGUAGUCAACUUAAUUGAGAGGACUUGCACCUGCAGGGCUUGGCAAGGGUCAGGAAUACCCUGCAAACAUGAUAUUGCAUACAUCACAUCAAUUCCUGGUGCUAUCUUAGAGGACUAUGUGCAUGAGUACUACUCAGUUGACAAAUUCAAAGCUGCGUAUCAAGGUUCUGUCCCUAGUAUUCCUGACAAGUCCUGCUGGCCCAAAGCCACACAUGGUUUCUUUAUGCAUCCUCCAUUGCUCAAGUCAACUGCAGAAAGGCACAAGAACGUGAUGAAAUCAGCUAUGGAGGGAGGUAGUGGAAGUAGUGGUAGCAAAGGGACUGGCAAGAGGAGACAUAAGUGCCCAAUAUGCAAAUAGUUAGGGCACCACUGGUACAAAUGUAACAAUGGGAAUCCAGAAGAUAUAGCUGCAAUGGAGCUUGAGAGGGGUCCACCAAAGAAACAGCUCAAGAAGAAAGCAGCUGCUUGUACCACAGAGAGUAGCAUUAUUGUGGCCACUCCUGCAUCAGAAAUGGUCUGGCCACACAAUGAGUCAGUGGCUAAUGCUACACACAAGAAAGGUAAGAGAAAAUCAUCUUCAUCAUCAUCAGGUGCCAAGAAAAGGAAGAAGACAACAACCACUACUUCAACAAGUACUGCUAGCAGAUCUGGAACUUGAUCCAAUGAUCCUGUACCUCUCCAAGUUCUGCCUCCUGCCUCAGCACAUACAACGCUCACACCAAUGAAGGAAUGUGGUGUCACGAAAGAAGCUAACACCAAAAAGGACGCCAGUUCAGGUUGACAGCCCA